AUACGGAGGGUGCAAGCGUUGUUCGGAAUUACUGGGCGUAAAGCGCGCGUAGGUGGUCUGUUAUGUCAGAUGUGAAAGUCCACGGCUCAACCGUGGAAGUGCAUUUGAAACUGGCAGACUCGAGUACUGGAGGGGGUAGUGGAAUUCCCGGUGUAGAGGUGAAAUUCGUAGAUAUCGGGAGGAAUACCGGUGGCGAAGGCGACUACCUGGCCAGAUACUGACACUGAGGUGCGAAAGCGUGGGGAGCGAACAGGAUUAGAAACCCCUGUAGUCC
rnacentral:rRNA from 1 species